AACACAUGCAAGUCGAACGAGAAGAGAUGAGAAGCUUGCUUCUUAUUGAUUCGAGUGGCAAACGGGUGAGUAACGCGUAAGCAACCUGCCCUUCAGAUGGGGACAACAGUCCGAAAGGACUGCUAAUACCGAAUGUUGUAUCUCCUCCGCAUGGAAGAGAUAUUAAAGAUGGCCUCUACUUGUAAGCUAUCGCUUUGCGAUGGGUCUGCGUCUGAUUAGCUAGUUGGUGGGGCAACGGCCUACCAAGGCGACGAUCAGUAGCCGGUCUGAGAGGAUGAACGGCCACAUUGGAACUGAGACACGGUCCAGACUCCUACGGGAGGCAGCAGUGGGGAAUCUUCCGCAAUGGGCGAAAGCCUGACGGAGCAACGCCGCGUGAGUGAAGAAGGUCUUCGGAUCGUAAAGCUCUGUUGUCGGGGACGAAUGUUGAGACCUAGAACACAGGUUUCAAAUGACGGUACCUGACGAGGAAGCCACGGCUAACUACGUG
rnacentral:rRNA from 1 species